AAGCCACGGAUCCUGGAAUCGAUACAAAAACAUGUCAAAUAAACGAAUAAUCAAAAACGCUACCUAAAGUGUGGCAAAAUUUGGAACCAUGGAGUAUUGUAGAGCAAACAUGGAGACACAAUUUCUUUAAGAAUGGAAGACGUUGAAUGACCACUUUUUAAGCAUUCAGUUGGUUAUUCUUUGAUUGAAAUUGACUUCGAAGCAAAAUUCCCAAAAAAAUCACAAAGCUUGUUGAAUGGAUGGCUUAAUUUUAUGAAGAAUAUAUGUAAGUAGUUCCAUAUAUGAAGGGGAAAAACAUGUUUGCUGAAAUUGAAAAAAAACCAAAUUCCGGUAAUUAAAUAUUUUGUUAUACAGCCCGCGACAAAACGAUGACAUCUCAACAUACUAGCAGACCCGGCGAA